AUUGAACGCUGGCGGCAGGCCUAACACAUGCAAGUCGAGCGGAGCGGCGGUCGGGUGCGUAAUGCCUAGGCAUCUGCCUGGUAGUGGGGGAUAACGUCCGGCAACGGGCGCUAAUACCGCAUACUAUCAGAUGAGCCUAGGUCGGAUUGGCUGGUUGGUGGGGUAAAGGCCUACCAAGGCGACGAUCCGUAACUGGUCUGAGAGGAUGAUCAGUCAAACUGGAACUGAGACACGGGCCAGACUCCUAGGGGAGGCAGCAGGGGGGAAUAUUGGACAAUGGGCGAAAGCCGGAUCCAGCAAUGCCGCGUGGGGGAAGAAGGUCUUCGGAUUGUAAAGCACUUUAAGUUGGGAGGCGGUACCAACAGAAUAAGCACCGGCUAACUUCGUGCCAGCAGCCGCGGUAAUAC
rnacentral:rRNA from 1 species